rnacentral:rRNA from 1 species
AAACCGGGACAUACGGUAAGACGUGAAAACACCCGAUCCCAUUCAGGCCUCGAUAUGUGGAUGAUCGUCUUGCGCCAUAUGUACUGAGAUUGUUCGGGAGACAUGGUCCAAGCCCGGUGAA